AUGUACCUGACCAGCCGUAGGAGAGCCGCAGCAGCACGGAGACGAAGGAGGGAGUCAGCUCGCCGUCGAUACAUGGUUGCCAUGUACGGACAUUUAUGUUGUAGCACUGAAGUCAUCCAACCCUACAUUACUGGCCUGGAGACAGAACUGAAAAGGAGGUUCCAGGAGCUGGACAUCCUAGGAGCCUUCCAUGUCCUUAGACCUCAGUCGGCUGCCCUCCCUGACAAUAUGUCCAUUGCACAGCUGCACACUCUGGUAAAAAAAUUCUGUCCAGACCAAGAGAAGGUGCUCCUCCAAGAGUGGUUUUCUUUCAAAAACCAUAUCAUUACAGGUAUGUGAAAAUCUCUCUCUCUUUCUCUUAUGUGCCAUACCUUUCAUUCAAGAACAAGAGCCAGGAGGAGCUCCUGACUCUGCUGGCGAGUGAGUAUGUUGAGUGGUUAGACCUCUACCACUGCCUCAGUCUCCUUGCCAGCAUUGCCCUGAUUGUCCCAGUCUCAUCUGUGAAUUGCGAGCGGGAUUUCUCAGCUAUGAAUAGGGUAAGCACAUAGAAUAUUCCUUAGUAUAUUUCUUGAAGUAAUGGGCAUUUUAAUACUUUAUUGAUAAUACAUUUUACUUGUUUUUAUCCCCAGAUAAAAACAGACCUCAGGAACAGGCUUCAAGGGGAACACCUGGCAGCCUGAUUAAUCUCCAUAAAUGGGCCAGAACCGAAUGAGGUCCCUUAUGAUCGGGCACUUGAGUUAUUUUUCAGGAAACCAUGUAGAAUUAAGUGUUCUGAUCAGGCAUGCAAGCUUUGCACAUUAGGCUAAUGCAGAUAAUUAUUUUAGUGAGUUGCCUUGUUGUACCUAGUAGUAUAUUGUUACUAUUUAUUUUAUAUUUCCUAAAAAAGUUAAAUAUUGGUUCAGGUAGGUCUUGAGUUUAUUUGUACUUGAAAUAAAAAAAACUAUAAAAUAAAAGUUCAGGUAAAAACUAAACUUGUACGCUGACGCCGCCGUCCCGUGCCGUGCCAUGUCGCCCCCCCCCCCCCGCGCACCACACAUUGGUCCUUGGUCUGUGGGAAACACUGGUGUAUAUAUUUAAUGUAUUUAAACGGCAGACAUUCACCCCUACGAAAAUUAAAUAGGUUAAAGUAAACAUGCUCCGCUUAAAGACUUAAUUGGGGCACAGCUGGUGCCGAGGCGGAAGCGGACCUCCAUGUGUCCAAGAACCAGGAACCUUGUCGCCGCUGUGCAGACCAGACACAUUGGGACAUCCGGGGCCGCUGCUAAGCUUUUGGCUGCCCUAAACUGGGCUGGUCAGGGUGCCCCCCCAAACACACACACACACACACAAAACCUUCAGAGUUUGCAAUCAAACCGUUGCUAUUUAUUAUAAAUUGACAUUAAAUAUGUAUAUAUUAAAUAAUAUAUAAAAAAAAAACAAAGCAGCAACAACAACAGGAGCACAAUCAGUAAUAAAUACGUUACAUAUCAAAC
rnacentral:lncRNA from 1 species